rnacentral:misc_RNA from 1 species
UACGUAGGGGGCGAGCGUUAUCCGGAAUCAUUGGGCGUAAAGCGCGUGUAGGCGGCUCGGAAAGUCUGGUGUGAAAGCCCGGGGCUCAACCCCGGAGGGUCACUGGAUACUCCCGAGCUUGAGUACGGAAGAGGCAAGUGGAAUUACUGGUGUAGCGGUGGAAUGCGCAGAUAUCAGUAGGAACACCAAUAGCGAAGGCAGCUUGCUGGGACGUAACUGACGCUGAGACGCGAAAGCGUGGGGAGCAAACAGG